rnacentral:rRNA from 1 species
GGAAGGAUCAUUCAUAAUAAGUGUUUUAUGGCACUUUUUAAAUCCAUAUCCACCUUGUGUGCAAUGUCAGUCGUUCUCUUUUUUGAGAGCGACCAAACAUCAACUUAUUCUUUAACUCUUUGUCUGAAAAAUAUUAUGAAUAAAAUAAUUCAAAAUACAACUUUCAACAACGGAUCUCUUGGCUCUCGCAUCGAUGAAGAACGCAGCGAAAUGCGAUACGUAAUGUGAAUUGCAGAAUUCAGUGAAUCAUCGAAUCUUUGAACGCAUAUUGCGCUCUUUGGUAUUCCGAAGAGCAUGCUUGUUUGAGUAUCAGUAAACACCUCAAAGACUUCAAUUUGUUUUGAAUGGCUUUGGACUUGAGCAAUCCCAACACCAGUCUUUACGAUCGGUGGAGGGUUGCUUGAAAUGCAGGUGCAGCUGGACAUUCUCCUGAGCUAAAAGCAUAUUUAUUUAGUCCCGUCAAACGGAUUAUUACUUUUGCUGCAGCUAACAUAAAGGGAGUUUGACCGUAUUGGCUGACUGAUGCAGGAUUUCACAAGGGUCGGCAACGAUUCUUGUAAAACUCGAUCUCAAAUCAAGUAAGACUACCCGCUGAACUUAAGCAUAUCAAUAAGCGGAGGAAAA